rnacentral:rRNA from 1 species
AACGAACGCUGGCGGCAUGCCUAACACAUGCAAGUCGAACGAGACCUUCGGGUCUAGUGGCGCACGGGUGCGUAACGCGUGGGAACCUGCCCUUAGGUUCGGAAUAGCUCCCCGAAAGGGGUGCUAAUACCGGAUAAUGUCUUCGGACCAAAGAUUUAUCGCCUUUGGAUGGGCCCGCGUUGGAUUAGCUAGUUGGUAGGGUAAAAGCCUACCAAGGCGACGAUCCAUAGCUGGUCUGAGAGGAUGAUCAGCCACACUGGGACUGAGACACGGCCCAGACUCCUACGGGAGGCAGCAGUGGGGAAUAUUGGACAAUGGGCGAAAGCCUGAUCCAGCAAGGCCGCGUGAGUGAUGAAGGCCUUAGGGUUGUAAAGCUCUUUUACCCGGGAUGAUAAUGACAGUACCGGGAGAAUAAGCUCCGGCUAACUCCGUG